rnacentral:rRNA from 1 species
CUGAUGGAGCAACGCCGCGUGAGUGAAGAAGGUUUUCGGCUCGUAAAGCUCUGUUGUUGGAGAAGAACGAUUGAGAGAGUAACUGUUCUUGAUUUGACGGUAUUCAACCAGAAAGCCACGGCUAACUACGUGCCAGCAGCCGCGGUAAUACGUAGGUGGCAAGCGUUGUCCGGAUUUAUUGGGCGUAAAGCGAGCGCAGGCGGUUGUUUAAGUCUGAUGUGAAAG